AGAUUGAACGCUGGCGGCGUGCUUUACACAUGCAAGUCGAACGGUAACAGGCCGCAAGGUGCUGACGAGUGGCGAACAGGUGAGUAAUGUAUCGGAACGUGCCCAGUCGUGGGGGAUAACGCAGCGAAAGCUGCGCUAACACCGCAUACGAUCUAUGGAUGAAAGCGGGGGACCGUAAGGCCUCGCGCGAUUGGAGCGGCCGAUAUCAGAUUAGGUAGUUGGUGGGGUAAAGGCUCACCAAGCCAACGAUCUGUAGC
rnacentral:rRNA from 1 species